rnacentral:rRNA from 1 species
UGAGGAAUAUUGGUCAAUGGGCGAGAGCCUGAACCAGCCAAGUCGCGUGAAGGAAGACAGUCCUAAGGAUUGUAAACUUCUUUUAUACGGGAAUAACGGGCGAUACGAGUAUUGCAUUGAAUGUACCGUAAGAAUAAGCAUCGGCUAACUCCGUGCCAGCAGCCGCGGUAAUACGGAGGAUGCGAGCGUUAUCCGGAUUUAUUGGGUUUAAAGGGUGCGUAGGUUGUUCGGUAAGUCAGCGGUGAAACCUGAGCGCUCAACGUUCAGCCUGCCGUUGAAACUGCCGGGCUUGAGUUCAGUGGCGGCAGGCGGAAUUCGUGGUGUAGCGGUGAAAUGCAUAGAUAUCACGAGGAACUCCGAUUGCGCAGGCAGCUUGCCAUACUGCGACUGACACUGAAGCACGAAGGCGUGGGUAUCAAACAGG